UGGGGAAUUUUGGACAAUGGGCGAAAGCCUGAUCCAGCAAUGCCGCGUGUGUGAAGAAGGCCUUCGGGUUGUAAAGCACUUUUGUCCGGAAAGAAAUCCUUGGCUCUAAUACAGUCGGGGGAUGACGGUACCGGAAGAAUAAGCACCGGCUAACUACGUGCCAGCAGCCGCGGUAAUACGUAGGGUGCAAGCGUUAAUCGGAAUUACUGGGCGUAAAGCGUGCGCAGGCGGUUUGCUAAGACCGAUGUGAAAUCCCCGGGCUCAACCUGGGAACUGCAUUGGUGACUGGCAGGCUAGAGUAUGGCAGAGGGGGGUAGAAUUCCACGUGUAGCAGUGAAAUGCGUAGAGAUGUGGAGGAAUACCGAUGGCGAAGGCAGCCCCCUGGGCCAAUACUGACGCUCAUGCACGAAAGCGUGGGGAGCAAACAGGAUUAGAUACCCUGGUAGUCCACGCCCUAAACGAUGUCAACUAGUUGUUGGGGAAUUCAUUUCCUUAGUAACGUAGCUAACGCGUGAAGUUGACCGCCUGGGGAGUACGGUCGCAAGAUUAAAACUUAAAGGAAUUGACGGGGUCAUAGCUGUUUCCU
rnacentral:rRNA from 1 species